CGUAAGAGUAGUGUAUGUCAUUUUUGUAAAUGUAAAUUUAUUGUACAUUUGUUACUUUAUUAAAAUGGGAAUAUUAGAAAAAAUAUCUGAAAUUGAAAAAGAAAUUGCUCGGACACAAAAAAAUAAAGCUACUGAGUAUCAUUUAGGUUUAUUAAAAGCAAAACUUGCGAAAUAUAGAUCACAACUUUUAGAACCACCAAAAAAAUCUGAAAAAGGAGAAGGAUUUGAUGUAUUAAAAUCAGGAGAUGCAAGAGUAGCUUUAAUAGGCUUUCCUUCUGUAGGAAAAUCUACUUUAUUAAGUACAUUAACACAUACAGAAUCUGAAGCAGCAUCUUAUGAAUUUACUACAUUAACUUGUAUACCUGGUGUUAUUGAAUAUAAAGGAGCCAAUAUUCAACUUCUUGAUCUUCCUGGAAUAAUUGAAGGUGCUGCACAGGGUAAAGGAAGGGGUAGGCAAGUAAUAGCUGUUGCACGAACAGCUGAUUUAGUUCUUAUGAUGCUAGAUGCUACUAAACAAGAUGUACAAAGACAACUUUUAGAAAAAGAAUUAGAAUCAGUUGGUAUACGACUUAAUAAAAAAAAGCCAAACAUAUAUUUCAAGAUAAAGAAAGGAGGUGGAUUAGCAUUUAACUCAACAUGUCCAUUAACAAAAGUAGAUGAAAAAUUAGUUCAAAUGAUUUUACAUGAAUAUAAAAUUUUCAAUGCAGAAGUUCUAUUUCGCGAAGAUUGUAGUGCAGAUGAAUUAAUUGAUGUAAUUAAUGCCAACAGAGUAUAUUUACCAUGUCUUUAUGUACAUAACAAAAUAGAUCAGAUAUCAAUAGAAGAAGUGGAUAGAAUUGCCAGGCAGCCUAAUAGUGUAGUAGUUAGUUGCAAUAUGAAAUUAAAUUUGGACUUCCUUCUUGAAACAUUAUGGGAAUAUUUAUCUUUAAUAAGAGUUUAUACAAAAAAACCUGGUCAACCACCUGAUUUUGAAGAUGGUUUAAUAUUAAGAAAAGGAGUUACAGUAGAACAUGUAUGUCAUGCAAUUCAUCGUACACUUGCUCAACAAUUUAAAUAUGCUCUUGUUUGGAACAGUCAAAUAAAAGGAUUGAUUAUAUUUGGUCUUAGCUGAAGAAAAUAUAUUAAUAACUGAACAUAACAUAUGCUAUCAUUGAAUAUAAAACGAGGAAAUGUGACUGAAGAAUUCAUAGAAGAUGGAAAUGCAUGAAUUACUCCACUACUUUUGAAUACUAGCAUAAAAGGAGAUAAAACCGCGUAAAGGGCCCCAUCAGUGGACAGCACUGUUUUAGAACAAAAAAAAAAAUUGGGUACAAGUACCAAAUAUUCACCCCAACGAGUUGGAUUACAACAUAUUAUGCAUGAUGAAGAUGUUAUUCAAAUAGUUAAAAAAUAAAAUUUAUAUAAUUAUAAAUUAUUUGUGAAAAUAGCAAAAGUAGAAUAUUACAUAA